rnacentral:rRNA from 1 species
UACGUAGGGGGCAAGCGUUGUCCGGAUUUAUUGGGCGUAAAGAGCUCGUAGGCGGUUUGGCAAGUCGGGUGUGAAACCUCCAGGCUCAACCUGGAGUCGCCACCCGAUACUGCUAUGACUUGAGUCUGGUAGGGGAUCACGGAAUUCCUGGUGUAGCGGUGAAAUGCACAGAUAUCAGGAGGAACACCGGUGGCGAAGGCGGUGAUCUGGGCCGGUACUGACGCUGAGACGCGAAAGCGUGGGGAGCGAACAGG